rnacentral:rRNA from 1 species
AUUGAACGCUGGCGGCAGGCCUAAUACAUGCAAGUCGAGCGAGCGGCGGACGGGUGAGUAACGUCUGGGAAACUGCCCGAUGGAGGGGGAUAACUACUGGAAACGGUAGCCAAUACCGCAUACCAUCAGAUGUGCCCAGAUGGGAUUAGCUAGUAGGUGGGGUAACGGCUCACCUAGGCGACGAUCCCUAGCUGGCCUGAGAGGAUGACCAGCCACACUGGGACUGAGACACGGUCCAUACUCCUACGGGAGGCAGCAGUGGGGAAUAUUGCACAAUGGGCGCAAGCCUGAUGCAGCCAUGCCGCGUGUGUGAAGAAGGCCUUCGGAUUGUAAAGCACUUUCGGCGGGGAGGCGUUACCCUCCGAAGAAGCACCGGCUAACUCCGUGCCAGCAGCCGCGGUAAUUC